GAAUUUGUGAUAUAUAAUUGAUAAUAGAGAAAAUAGAAAUGAUUAGGCAAUUCAAAUUUGAAUUGAAAUUUGUAAUUUUAAUUAUAAUUAUACAGCCUACACCAAAGGUAGGAUCAAAUGAUUGAUUUAUUUAAAUAUAUUAUAUUGACUUUAGGAUCUUGCUCGCAUUUUCAUUGACAUGUUUUUAAAAUCAUUAAAACAGGUUGAAUCCGCCACCUCCACCACCACCGCCUCCGCCUCCUCCUCCUCCACCUCCACUUCCAGAACCGGCACCAAAUCCUGAGCCACUACCAGAACCAGAACCACCGUUAGUAUUUCCAUUACCACCUCCACCCCCAUUUCCACCUCCUCCUCCAAAUCCGCCAUCAGAUCCAAAACCGUAUCCAGAACCCGCUCCGGAUCCAAAUCCCCAUCCCCACCCUUUUUGACUCGGAGGUGGAGGAGAGUUGAUAACCGGUGGUGAGACAGAUGGAGGGCUCAUUAUAGGUGGUGAGACAGAUGGAGGGCUCAUUAUAGGUGGUGAGACAGAUGGAGGGCUCAUUAUAGGUGGUGAGACAGAUGGAGGGCUCAUUAUAGGUGGUGAGGCUGAUGGAGGAGAGUUAACUGGUGGUGGAACUGACGGCGGAGAGUUGGGACCAGAAGUUACUAUCGUGGCAGUGCCAGAACCAGUACCCGUACCCCCACCACUACCUCCAGCCACACCACCACCUCUUCCACCACCAAUUCCUCGUCCCCCAACAAAAAAUCCACCAUCUCCCGAACUACCAGCAUUAGCAAAACCCCCGCCAAUUCCAGCUCCAAAGCCAGAUGAGCCAGGAUCAUUAGUACUAGUACCUCCACCACCACCGCUACCGCUACCACUAGCCGAGAAGGUGGAUAAGAGUCGAGAGGCACAUACCAUAUUGGAAGAA
rnacentral:lncRNA from 1 species